rnacentral:tRNA from 1 species
GUGUGCCUGUGGCUCAACUGGUAGAGCGUGGCACUAGCGACGCCAAGGUUGUGGGCUCGAUUCCCAGGGAACGCA